AAAGCAUAUACUUUCUCCUUGAUUUUUCAUUGAAGAAUCAACAACCUUGGCAACAUCAUAAUACACAAUUAUUCAAAAGAUCUUCUUCAAAUUUUUUUCUAUUUGUUUUGCGCUCAAAAUUACUAUAAUAUCAUAGAAUAUCAUCAUUAAUUGUUCUUUGAAAAAUUAUUUUGGCAGAUUUGUCACCAUAUAAAAUCAGUUUAUGAUAUUUAUUGAAGAUUUCAGGGUUUCAAGUUAUCAAUUACUUGUUGUUUCAAAUGGAUGAAGAAACCCCUAAUAGGAGAUUGGCAAGAGAUUUUUUGAUGGAGUUGAAAGUGGACAAGUCGAGAGCAGAGUCACAAACAUUACAUUCACGGACAAGUCGACUUUUUAACAUUCAAGUCAAGAAUAGGUUAUUUUAUUAUUGUUCAU